rnacentral:rRNA from 1 species
ACGCUGGCGGUAUGCUUACACAUGCAAGUUUGACGGUUACCAUUUGUUUGGGAAGCCGUGGCGGACGGGUGAGUAAUAUGUAAGAAUCUGCGUUUAGGUGAGGGAUAACGGUCGGAAACGAUCGGUAAUACCUCAUAGUGCUAUUAAGUUAAAGAUUUAUCGCCUAAACAUGAGCUUGCAUCUGAUUAGCUAGUUGGUGGGGUAACAGCUUACCAAGGCUAUGAUCAGUAGUUGAUUUGAGAGGAUGAUCAACCACACUGGGACUGAGAUACGGAACAGACUUCUACGGAAGGCAGCAGUGGGGAAUAUUGCACAAUGGGCGAAAGCCUGAUGCAGCAAUACCGCGUGGGGGAUGAAGGUUCUAGAAUUGUAAACUCCUUUUCUCAAAAAAGAAUAGUUGACGGUAUUUGAGGAAUAAGCAUCGGCUAAUUUUGUGCCAGCAGCCGCGGUAAUACAAGAGAUGCAAGCGUUAUCCGGAAUUAUUGGGCGUAAAGAGUGCGUAGGUUGUUAUAUGUGUUUGAUAUUAAAUUUUGAAGCUUAACUUUAAACUUGUAUUAGAAACUAUGUGACUAGAGUACAGUAGAGGUAAAGGGAAUUUUCAGUGUAGCGGUGAAAUGCGUAGAUAUUGGAAAGAACACCGGUGGCGAAGGCGCUUUACUAGGUUUGAUACUGACAUUGAGGCACGAAAGCGGAGGUAAUGAUUAGGAUUAAGAUACCCUCGUAGUCUCCGCCGUAAACGAUGGGAUACUAAAUGGUGUUUUUCCGCUGUUAAGUUAACGCGUUUAGUAUCCCGCCUGGGGA